AUCAACUUUCGAUGGUAGGAUAGAGGCCUACCAUGGUGGUAACGGGUAACGGGGUGUUAGGGCACGACACCGGAGAGGGAGCCUGAGAAACGGCUACCACAUCCAAGGAUGGCAGCAGGCGCGCAAAUUACCCAAUCCCGACACGGGGAGGUAGUGACAAUAAAUAACAAUACGGGGCUCUUUAGGGUCUCGUAAUUGGAAUGAGUACAAUUUAAAUCUCUUAACGAGGAACAAUUGGAGGGCAAGUCUGGUGCCAGCAGCCGCGGUAAUCCCAGCUCCAAUAGCGUAUAUUAAAGUUGUUGCAGUUAAAAAGCUCGUAGUUGAAUUUCGGGAUCAGCAGGUUGGUCGUGCCUCUGGUAUGCACUGGUUUCGCUGAUUCCUCCUUUCUGAAGAACUGUAAUGUCAUUAAUUNGGUGUUGCAGGGAAACAGGACUGUUACUUUGAAAAAAUUAGAGUGUUUAAAGCAGGCUAAGGCUUGAAUACAUUAGCAUGGAAUAAUGAAAUAGGACGUUUGAUCCUAUUUUGUUGGUUUCUAGGAUUGACGUAAUGAUUAAUAGGGAUAGUUGGGGGCAUUAGUAUUCAAUUGUCAGAGGUGAAAUUCUUGGAUUUAUUGAAGACUAACUACUGCGAAAGCAUUUGCCAAGGAUGUUUUCAUUAAUCAAGAACGAAAGUUAGGGGAUCGAAGACGAUCAGAUACCGUCGUAGUCUUAACCAUAAACUAUGCCGACUAGGGAUCGGAUGAUGUUAAUUUUUUAAUGACUCAUUCGGCGCCUUACGGGAAACCAAAGUGUUUGGGUUC
rnacentral:rRNA from 1 species